rnacentral:rRNA from 1 species
AGAGUUUGAUCCUGGCUCAGGACGAACGCUGACGGUGUGCUUUAGGCAUGCAAGUCGAACGAGAAAGCCCUUUGGGGUGAGUAAAGUGGCGAACGGGUGAGUAACACGUGGGCAACCUGCCCCUCGCAGGGGGACAACCGGAGGAAACUCCGGCUAAUACCCCGUACGCUUGUUGGAUCGCAUGGUCCGGCAAGGAAAGGUAGCUUCGGCCAUCCGGCGAGGGAUGGGCCCGCGUUGCAUUAGCUAGUUGGUGGGGUAACGGCCUACCAAGGCGACGAUGCGUAGCUGGUCUGAGAGGAUGAUCAGCCACACUGGGACUGAGACACGGCCCAGACUCCUACGGGAGGCAGCAGCCAGGAAUCUUGGGCAAUGGGCGAAAGCCUGACCCAGCAACACCGUGUGGGCGAUGAAGGCCUUAGGGUCGUAAAGCCCUGUUGAUAGGGACGAAGGGCGAAGGGUUAAUAGCCCCUAGCUUGACGGUACCUUUCGAGGAAGCCCCGGCUAACUACGUGCCAGCAGCCGCGGUAAUACGUAGGGGGCGAGCGUUGUCCGGAAUUAUUGGGCGUAAAGAGCGUGUAGGCGGUUCGGUAAGUCUGCUGUGAAAUCCUGGGGCUCAACCCUGGGCGUGCAGCGGAUACUGCCGGGCUAGAGGGUGGUAGAGGCGAGUGGAAUUCCGAGUGUAGCGGUGAAAUGCGCAGAUAUUCGGAGGAACACCAGUAGCGAAGGCGGCUCGCUGGGCCACACCUGACGCUGAGACGCGAAAGCGUGGGGAGCGAACAGGAUUAGAUACCCUAGUAGUCC